UCAGUCGGCCGGACGGCCGCUCCUGCAAUGGUCGAAAGGCUGCGGGGGAGGAAAGUCCGGGCUCCAAUGACAUACGGUGCCAGCUAACGGCUGGCGGGGGCGACCCCAGGGAAAGUGCCACAGAGAACGAACCGCUCGCCUUCGCAGCUACGCUGCUUCGGCGUAGCAAGCCCCCGGGCUCGCUGCGCCGUAACCCGAAGGGUGAAGGCGAGUAAGGGUGAAAAGGUGCGGUAAGAGCGCACCGCGGAUCCGGCAACGGAGACGGCAAGGUAAACCCCACCGGGAGCAAAACCGAAUAGGGACGGCAUGGCAGUCAGUUCAUUCCCAGGCGCAAGCCCGCGAACGAUAACACUGCAGGGUGAUGUCAAACCCGCUGUCCGGGUAGGUUGCUUGAGGCCGCAUGCGAAUGCGGUCCCAGAAGAAUGGUCGUCACGUAUCGUCACGCAAGUGGCGGUGCCUUACAGAACCCGGCUUACAGGCCGGCUGAUACU
rnacentral:RNase_P_RNA from 1 species